AUCGUCAAUUAAAAGAAUAUUUUAAUAUUUGACGUAAUAUGCUAACAUUUAUUUCUGUAAAAUAUUAUGUAACGAUUGACAGAAAAUUAUCGUUCUAGAAAUUAUAAUCGGUUAUGUUUUGGUAUUAUACUCUGAAAAAUCAUACAUAGAAAUAUCAUAGAUAUCGCGUUUAACCAUUAUUAUUAGAUUCCUUCAUUAGAUAAUUAAAAUUUACACAAUUGUACCGAAUUUUAAGGAUAGGGUAUAUUCACAAUAAACUAAAAGAACAAUAAAUUGAA